rnacentral:misc_RNA from 1 species
GAUGAAGAACGCAGCGAAAUGCGAUAAGUAAUGUGAAUUGCAGAAUUCAGUGAAUCAUCGAAUCUUUGAACGCAUCUUGCGCUCCUUGGUAUUCUGAGGAGCAUGCCUGUUUGAGUGUCGUUAAAUUCUCAACUACACUGACUUUGAAUUGGUGUGGCUUGGAUUUGGGGGGAAAAUUGUUGUGGGCUUUUUGUAUAGUCUGCUCCCCUGAAAUUGAUUAGCGGUACCUUUGUGGAACUGUCUACAGGUGUGAUAAUUAUCUACAUCUUAGACAUCUGCUGGAAUGCUGCUUUCUAAACCUUACUUGUAUUGACAAUCUUGACCUCAAAUCAGGUAGGACUACCCGCUGAACUUAAGCAUAUCAAUAAGCGGAGGA